GCUGGGCAUGGUGGCGCGUGCCUGUAAUCCCAGCUACUCAGGAGGCUGAGGCAGGAGAAUUGCUUGAACCCAGGAGGCGGAGGUUGCAGUGAGCCAAGAUCUCGCCAUUGCACUCCAGCCUGGGUGACAAGAGCAAAACUCUGUCUCAA
ensembl:misc_RNA Metazoa_SRP Metazoan signal recognition particle RNA